rnacentral:rRNA from 1 species
CCUACGGGUGGCAGCAGUGGGGAAUAUUGCACAAUGGGGGAAACCCUGAUGCAGCAACGCCGCGUGAGUGAAGAAGUAUUUCGGUAUGUAAAGCUCUAUCAGCAGGGAAGAGAAUGACGGUACCUGACUAAGAAGCCCCGGCUAACUACGUGCCAGCAGCCGCGGCAGUAAGUAGGGGGCAAGCGUUAUCCGGAUUUAGUGGGUGUAAAGGGGGCGUAGGCGGCUGGACAAGUUAGAGGUGAAAGCACGAGGAUCAACCGCGGAACGGAGUCGGAAACUGUAAAGCGGGAGAGUAGGAGUGGUAGGCGGAAUGGAGGGGGUAGAGGUGAAAUGUGUAGAGAUCAUACAGAAAACCGAGGGCGAAGGCAGCGGAACAAGCUAUUUAGGACGGUGAGGCACGAAAGCGUGGGGAGCAAACAGGAUGAGAUACCCUAGGAGGG